rnacentral:rRNA from 1 species
AUUGAACGCUGGCGGCAGGCCUAACACAUGCAAGUCGAGCGGAUUUUGGAGGGCUUGCUCUCCAAAGUUAGCGGCGGACGGGUGAGGAAUACGCAGGAAUCUACCUAGUAGUGGGGGAUAACGUUCCGAAAGGAACGCUAAUACCGCAUACGACCUACGGGUGAAAGCAGGGGACCUUCGGGCCUUGCGCUACUAGAUGAGCCUGCGUCGGAUUAGCUUGUUGGUGGGGUAAUGGCCUACCAAGGCGACGAUCCGUAGCUGGUCUUAGAGGAUGAUCAGCCACACUGGGACUGAGACACGGCCCAGACUCCUACGGGAGGCAGCAGUGGGGAAUAUUGGACAAUGGGCGAAAGCCUGAUCCAGCCAUGCCGCGUGUGUGAAGAAGGCCUCGGUUGUAAGUA